AAAAACUUCUGCGACGGCACUUUUUGAUGGCAGCAACCACCCCCUACACCAUGACUCAAUGGUUAUUUCGUCUUCGGUAGGAUUAUAGUUUAGCGUUAGUAAUCAAAAAACUAGAGCUAUCGAAAUAUCCACAUCGAUAAAUAUUAAAGCAGUCAGAGUGAUGACAAUGGAUUCUAAGAUUGUACAUCACACCAUUCAAAGAUUCAGUGACUCAACCUGCGAUGAUGUUUGCAGAUACUUUACGAAAAACGUGAACGGACGACAGAACAUUGAUGACAGCUUUUACGUGUUCGACCUCGGAGAAUUGACAAAGCUGUACGCUCUGUUGG